GCCACGGUCGGAGGCGCGGCUGCGGGUCUAGGAGCUACAGUACCCCCUCAGAGUCGCUCAAGGCAAGAAGACCCAGAGACAGCAAGACUGAAACAAAAAGCAAAGGAGGUGCCUGUUUCCUAGAAGUGGCAGCUGUGCCUGACUAAUUGAGUUGCAGUAAACCCAGUUGUCCAGAAACUGUUUCCCACACCAACAAGCAGUGUGCCUUCACCAACUGAAGUCUUACACUCAACUCAAUUCUGUUGCUAUCUGGAGAUAUUCUGCUGGAGAAGAGCAGAGAAAUAGCUCCAGAAGGAAAGAAGAGGCUGCGCCAAAGUGAAAACAACGCCAAGUUGUGGAUGUGUCUGGUGGUGGAAGUAAAGUCUGAUGCUGUAAAGAACAAUACUGCAUAGGAACCUGGAAUGUUAUGUCCAUGAAUCAAGGUCAACAAGCUACAACAUGCAGUGCCAGUUCAACAAAGAGAUAAAACUACAGCUGACCACAGAAAAUAUCACUCACCCUUAGAUGGACACUGCUAUAAGGACUCUGAGGUUUGAGACUAGCAAGAGGGGGAGGCCCAAUACCCCUCACCAUCCUGGUUCAGCAGGAAGUAGCCAGAAAGACCUUGACACCCCUAUUCCCAAAGAAUUGGACCUGCCAUCUCUUGAGGGGGGGCUGUUAGGUAAUUAGAAUAUGAACCAGGAGUCCAGAAUGGUGGUGCCUAAAAGACAAGGAAGGGAAAAGCCCACGAAAAUAGAACAAAAGAAGGUCAAAGGAAGGUCCGAGGACCGGAGUGAGGACCUCAGGUAGAGCAAACAGCACUC